UGAGCAUAGUUUAACCAAAACACUAAACUGUGGAUUUAGAAACAGGGGCCCACACCCCCUUGCACACC
rnacentral:tRNA from 1 species